rnacentral:rRNA from 1 species
UACGAAGGGGGGCUAGCGUUGCUCGGAAUCACUGGGCGUAAAGGGCGCGUAGGCGGAUCUUUAAGUCGGGGGUGAAAGCCUGUGGCUCAACCACAGAAUUGCCUUCGAUACUGGGGAUCUCGAGACCGGAAGAGGUGAGUGGAAUUCCGAGUGUAGAGGUGAAAUUCGUAGAUAUUCGGAAGAACACCAGUGGCGAAGGCGGCUCACUGGACCGGUAUUGACGCUGAUGUGCGAAAGCGUGGGGAGCAAACAGG